GACAGAGGGUGCAAACGUUGUUCGGAUUUACUGGGCGUAAAGCGCGUGUAGGCGGCUUGGCAAGUCGGAUGUGAAAGCCCACGGCUCAACCGUGGAAGCGCAUCCGAAACGGCCUCGCUCGAGUCUCGGAGAGGAAGGUGGAAUGCUUGGUGUAGAGGUGAAAUUCGUAGAUAUCAAGCAGAACACCUGCGGCGAAGACGGCCUUCUGGACGAUGACUGACGCUGAGACGCGAAAGCGUGGGGAGCAAACAGG
rnacentral:rRNA from 1 species